GCGCCUGCGCAGUGGGCGGCACCCGCGGGGGUCGGGCGCCUUCCUCCUCUCCUCCCUCUCCCCCCCGUCUCCGGGGUCUGAGUGACAGUCCAUGGCCCCCGAAGAGAGAACCGUGAAAGAAAGGGACAUCAGGACACUGUUUUACACGCACCUCUUGGGCGUCUUCACCAUCGUCGCCACCACCUUCGUCCCGUCUUUCUUCCUGGAGAAGUUUUCCGUUCUGGAGACCCACCUGACGUGGCUGGGCAUCUGUUCGGCCAGCGUGGCCGCCCUCAACGUCGGGUUCUAUUUUCUCAUCAGACCAAACCCGCCGGCCAAGAGGAACUCGGUGUCGCACAAGGUAUCCAGAUUUCUGAAAUGCUGCGUCUACUUUCUCGUUUCCUGCACGCUCUUUCACCUCAUCACUGUGCUCUACGGGGCUCCCCUAAUUGAAUCGGUGCUGGAAACAUUCUCUUUUGCCGUCAUCUUGUCUACCUACACCACCCUACCUUGCCUGUGCGUUUUAGGGCCCAACCUUCACGCCUGGCAACGAGUGUUCAGUAAAAAUGGCGCCUCCUCCAUUUGGGAUAAAAGUCUGCAGAUCACCACCCUGACCAGCGUGGCGGGAGCCUGGCUCGGGGCCUUCCCGCUGCCCCUCGACUGGGACCGGCCUUGGCAGGUCUGGCCCAUCUCCUGCACCCUGGGAGCCACCUCGGGCUACGCGGCCGGCCUCCUGGUCUCCCCGCUGUGGAUCUACCGGAACCGGCAGCGACUCACGCGCAAGGGCAGGUAGCCGGGGGGGGAGGGGGCCGACCCCGGAGAGACCGCGCGGCCGCGGCUUCCCCGGAGACCCCCGGCGAGCGUACCUUCCGGCCCCAGCAAAGCACUCCUCGCACCCGGCGGUCUCGGGGGCGACUUCCUGUUAAAAUGGCUAUGAUAGCCUCGUCGAAAACAGUCUUCAAGCCCUUCUGCGUUAAAGCGGAACAUUCCACGUAGCAGCACGCGCCUAUCUGCCAACAGAGGGGGACAGGUGUGAGCCCGCCGCCGCCGUGCCCGCGCCCGUCCGCGCCCCUCCACGCGUCCACCCGCCGAUCCCAAGCCCAUCUACACACCUCCGGACACACCCCAAAAAUCAAAUAUCCGCAGAGGCGCCAUCAGGUGCCCCCACGCACACCCUCCCCCCCCCCCGCCCCCAAACACACAACAGACAAGUCGCACGCGUACGUUCCCCGAAGUAAAAACCGAGGCCUGCCCUUAUAUUGCCGCACCGAA